rnacentral:rRNA from 1 species
AUUGAACGCUGGCGGCAGGCUUAACACAUGCAAGUCGAGCGGAGAGAGGUAGCUUGCUACUGAUCUUAGCGGCGGACGGGUGAGUAAUGCUUAGGAAUCUGCCUAUUAGUGGGGGACAACAUUUCGAAAGGAAUGCUAAUACCGCAUACGUCCUACGGGAGAAAGCAGGGGAUCUUCGGACCUUGCGCUAAUAGAUGAGCCUAAGUAGGAUUAGCUAGUUGGUGGGGUAAAGGCCUACCAAGGCGACGAUCUGUAGCGGGUCUGAGAGGAUGAUCCGCCACACUGGGACUGAGACACGGCCCAGACUCCUACGGGAGGCAGCAGUGGGGAAUAUUGGACAAUGGGCGGAAGCCUGAUCCAGCCAUGCCGCGUGUGUGAAGAAGGCCUUAUGGUUGUAAAGCACUUUAAGCGAGGAGGAGGCUACUUUAGUUAAUACCUAGAGAUAGUGGACGUUACUCGCAGAAGAAGCACCGGCUAACUCCGUGCCAGCCGCCGCAGUAAGAC